rnacentral:rRNA from 1 species
GACGGAGGGUGCAAGCGUUAUCCGGAAUGAUUGGGCGUAAAGCGUCCGCAGGUGGCAGUUCAAGUCUGCUGUGAAAGACCGGGGCUUAACUUCGGAAAGGCAGUGGAAACUGAACAGCUAGAGUAUGGUAGGGGCAGAGGGAAUUCCUGGUGUAGCGGUGAAAUGCGUAGAGAUCAGGAAGAACAUCGGUGGCGAAGGCGCUCUGCUGGACCAUAACUGACACUCAGGGACGAAAGCGAGGGGAGCGAAUGGG